rnacentral:rRNA from 1 species
CCGCGGGUGAGUAACGCGUAUCCAACCUGCCGUCUACUCUUGGACAGCCUUCUGAAAGGAAGAUUAAUACAAGAUGGCAUCAUGAGUCCGCAUGUUCACAUGAUUAAAGGUAUUCCGGUAGACGAUGGGGAUGCGUUCCAUUAGAUAGUAGGCGGGGUAACGGCCCACCUAGUCUUCGAUGGAUAGGGGUUCUGAGAGGAAGGUCCCCCACAUUGGAACUGAGACACGGUCCAA